rnacentral:rRNA from 1 species
UACGUAGGGGGCGAGCGUUGUCCGAAGUUACUGGGCGUAAAGCGCGCGUAGGCGGUUUCUUAAGUCUGGGGUGAAAGGUUCAACGCUCAACGUGAACAGUGCCUUGGAUACUGGGAGACUUGAGUUAGGGAGAGGGCAGUAGAAUUCCUGGUGUAGCGGUGAAAUGCGUAGAUAUCAGGAGGAAUACCAAUGGCGAAGGCAGCUGCCUGGCCUAUAACUGACGCUGAGGUGCGAAAGCGUGGGGAGCAAACGGG